rnacentral:misc_RNA from 1 species
GAUGAAGAACGUAGUGAAAUGCGAUAAGUAAUGCGAAUUGCAGAAUUCAGUGAGUCAUCGAAUCUUUGAACGCACAUUGCGCCCUGUGGUAUUCCGCAGGGCAUGCCUGUUCGAGCGUCAUUUCAACCCUCAAGCUCUGCUUGGUGUUGGGCCCUGCCCGCUCGCGGCUGGCCCUAAAGACAGUGGCGGCGCCGUCUGGCUCUGAGCGUAGUACACCUCUCGCUCCAGCGCCUGGCGGUGGCCUGCCAGAACCCCAACUCUGUGGUUGACCUCGGAUCAGGUAGGGAUACCCGCUGAACUUAAGCAUAUCAAUAAGCGGAGGA